rnacentral:rRNA from 1 species
AUUGAACGCUGGCGGCAUGCUUUACACAUGCAAGUCGAACGGUAACAGGCCGCAAGGUGCUGACGAGUGGCGAACGGGUGAGUAAUGCAUCGGAACGUGCCCAGUCGUGGGGGAUAACGCAGCGAAAGUUGCGCUAAUACCGCAUACGAUCUAUGGAUGAAAGCGGGGGACCGUAAGGCCUCGCGCGAUUGGAGCGGCCGAUGCCAGAUUAGGUAGUUGGUGGGGUAAAGGCUCACCAAGCCGACGAUCUGUAGCUGGUCUGAGAGGACGACCAGCCACACUGGGACUGAGACACGGCCCAGACUCCUACGGGAGGCAGCAGUGGGGAAUUUUGGACAAUGGGCGCAAGCCUGAUCCAGCAAUGCCGCGUGCAGGAAGAAGGCCUUCGGGUUGUAAACUGCUUUUGUACGGAACGAAACGGUCCUGGUUAAUACCCGGGGCUAAUGACGGUACCGUAAGAAUAAGCACCGGCUAACUACGUGCCAGCCGCCGCCGAAA